rnacentral:lncRNA from 1 species
GUCUAGUGAAAGUAAAAAGAAGAAAAACAGAGCUAAGCCAAGGAAAUGAUUUCUUUCCCACCUACAAUGCAUGAAAAGAAAUUAACAUGAAAAGGGUCUGAGGAAGACAUUAAUAUUUUGAUAGUGGCAGAAGAAUGUUAUUUACAAAAAUAAUGACAAAUGUUGAAGAGAAAAUACAGGCUUCCUAGCAACUAGACCAAAGAUAAGAUGCUGUUGAAUUCAAGAUAGACAUUUGGAAUAUACAGUUAGCUGUCAUUUGAACACAGGCCCAUGGCACAAGUUCAGAAACGUAAAGUUACAGAGAAAAUAAAGACCCCCAGAGCAAAAUCACCACAGUCUCCAUGGAAAUCAAUUGGUUCAUUCUUCGUCUUAAGAGUCCAGCAUUCACUCAACAAACAUCUUAUGCUGCCAGGUUUCUCUAAUGCAGCAGAACUUGAUCAUAAGAACCCAUCACUGAGAACAUCAUCUAUUUUGCCCAUAAGACUUGGAGAACUGAAGCAGGAACUAAGAUGGAGAUGUCCUCACCACUAACUAGCCCCUGCAGUGUUUGGAAGAUGCUAUUCACGCUGCUAGAUGAGAGAGAACAUGAACAGCCUUAUCCGGCUAUGAACUGUAGACUAGGCCCAGACAGAAGGAUAUGCCACAGCAGGAGACAGGAUCCAGAAUGAGAAUAGACAAAAGACAUUUUCAAAAGUCCAGGUUCACAGCUUGACAGAAGCCUUCACACAGAAAGAGCCAUUGCACAUUGGACAGAUGAUCCCAGAAUGGAAGUUUCCAGAGGAAAUAACAGUCAAUAAACAGGAGUCACGGCGGGAAGUACAGCAUCACGCAGACAGACUGGUUGCUGGAGAAGCCAAGAAUUCGACAUCUUGAUCCAAAGGCAGCCAU